UACGUAGGGGGCAAGCGUUGUCCGGAUUCAUUGGGCGUAAAGAGCGUGUAGGCGGCCAGGUAGGUCGGUUGUGAAAACUGGAGGCUCAACCUUCAGAGGUCGACCGAAACCAUCUGGCUAGAGUCCGGGAGAGGAGAGUGGAAUUCCUGGUGUAGCGGUGAAAUGCGCAGAUAUCAGGAAGAACACCCGUGGCGAAAGCGGCUCUCUGGAACGGUACUGACGCUGAGACGCGAAAGCUAGGGGAGCGAACGGG
rnacentral:rRNA from 1 species